rnacentral:rRNA from 1 species
UGGGGAAUAUUGCACAAUGGACGGAAGUCUGAUGCAGCAACGCCGCGUGCGGGAUGACGGCCUUCGGGUUGUAAACCGCUUUUUCUCAUGACGAAGUUUUUUGACGGUAGUGGGGGAAGAAGCACCGGCUAACUACGUGCCAGCAGCCGCGGUGAUACGUAGGGUGCGAGCGUUGUCCGGAAUUAUUGGGCGUAAAGAGCUUGUAGGCGGUUUGUCGCGUCGAUAGUGCAAACUCAGUGCUUAACGCUGAGCCUGCUGUUGAUACGGGCAGACUAGAGGAAGGUAGGGGAGAAUGAAAUUCCCGGUGGAGCGGUGGAAUGCGCAGAUAUCGGGAGGAACACCGGUGGCGAAGGCGGUUCUCUGGGCCUUUCCUGACGCUGAGAAGCGAAAGCGUGGGGAGCGAACAGG